GAUGUUUUCGAGGCGGAGGAGGAGGAGGGCCAGGGCCGGCAGGACCUCCCGUGCCCGUAUUGCUACGAGGACCACGAUGUCGGCUCGCUGUGCUAUCAUUUGGAGGAUGAGCACGGCUUUGAAUCUAGAGUGGCUAGACGCCGAAGGUUACGCAGAGUUCCUAUUCCGAAUAGUCAGACACUUUCUUUACUCGGCAGGGACCUUCGGGAGGCUCAGUUGCAAGUGCUAUUGGGCAGUGGUGGCUAUCGAACAAGCAAUACUAAUGCAUCAACUGCACUGACCGAGUCACUACUUUCUUCACUUGUUUUAAAUUUCCCUACAUCUGAAGCAGAUGAAGUAGCAAAAUCUUCUGUCUCCUCUACAGAAGAUAUCAUUAAUAAAAAGUCGACGGCUAACAAGAGUUGGAGAUCAAGCUCUGAUCUUUUUCUCACUUACGAGGAGAGGGAACAAAAGCGGAGACAGGCCACCGUUCGAGCAACAUUUGUGCAGGAUCUACUGCUCU
rnacentral:misc_RNA from 1 species